rnacentral:rRNA from 1 species
UAGGGAAUCUUCCACAAUGGACGCAAGUCUGAUGGAGCAACGCCGCGUGAGUGAAGAAGGCUUUCGGGUCGUAAAACUCUGUUAUUGAAGAAGAACGUGUGUGACAGUAACUGGUCAUGCAGUGACGGUAUUCAAUCAGAAAGUCACGGCUAACUACGUGCCAGCAGCCGCGGUAAUACGUAGGUGGCAAGCGUUGUCCGGAUCUAUUGGGCGUAAAGCGAGUGCAGGCGGUCUUUUAAGUCUGAUGUGAAAGCCUUCGGCUUAACCGAAGAAGGGCAUCGGAAACUGGGAGACUUGAGUGCAGAAGAGGAGAGUGGAACUCCAUGUGUAGCGGUGAAAUGCGUAGAUAUAUGGAAGAACACCAGUGGCGAAGGCGGCUCUCUGGUCUGUAACUGACGCUGAGGCUCGAAAGCGUGGGUAGCAAACAGGAUUAGAUACCCUGGUAGUCCACGC